rnacentral:rRNA from 1 species
UACGGAGGAUGCGAGCGUUAUCCGGAUUUAUUGGGUUUAAAGGGUGCGUAGGCGGACGCUUAAGUCAGCGGUAAAAUUGCGGGGCUCAACCUCGUCGAGCCGUUGAAGCUGGGUGCCUUGAGUGGGCGAGAAGUACGCGGAAUGCGUGGUGUAGCGGUGAAAUGCAUAGAUAUCACGCAGAACUCCGAUUGCGAAGGCAGCGUACCGGCGCCCUACUGACGCUGAAGCACGAAGGCGUGGGUAUCGAACAGG